UGCCAUUAUUAGGUUCACCAAUGUACCCAACAAGGUGUAAUAGUCAACUAAUAGGAUGUGUGUAUGUACACAGAGGCAUAAGGAGGCUGGCAGAUCCAAAAUCUGCAGAGUGGGCUGGCAGUCAUGAGACCUGGAGACAAGCUGAUGAUACAUAUUGAGUCACUGUGGAAUUCCUUCUUGCUUGGAGGGGGGUCAGUCUUUUGUUUUAUUUUGUUUUAUUCAGACCUCCAACUGAUUGGAUAAGGCCUAUCCGCAGUAUGGAGGACAGUCUGCUUUACUCAGAGUCCUUUGAUUUAAAUGUAAAUAUCAUCCAGAAACACCCUCAUAGAAACAUCCAGGAUAAUGUUUGACCAAAUAUCUGAAUACUGUGGCCUAGCCAAGUUGACACACAAAAUUUAUUAUCACACCAGGUCAAUAUUACUCUCCUACCCGAUCAGCCAUCUCUUCCUCACAUUUUUUGCUAUCACAGCCCUAAAUCUUGUCCCUUCUCUUCAAACCUAGGACACUUCUCCCUCUUCUGUUGAAUUAAAAACACUAAUUCAUCCAAUUUUUAUUGAAUCCGUACUAUUCCAAGCUAGGAAUAUAAUGUGCUAGGCUGUGUGAUUUCAAUGUGAGCAAAACAAAGACUUGGCUACUGUCUUCUUAGGAGAGAGAGAAAUUAAUAGUCACAAAUCUUAUAGACUAUGAUGAAAACAAUGAAUGGGGAUAUAAGAGGAUGCAGAGAGGCACGUCAGUAGGUGAAGAGGAGUUGGAGACAAGAAGGGCUUUGAGGGCAGAGGAAACAGCAUGUGCCAAGGCAAAUGCUGAUCUCAAAGAUGGCCCUUCAGGUGAUCUAACCUCCUACUUCACCAAGAAUAUAAAUAGAAACCAUCAGAAUGAAACUCUCGACUUCCUCAUCCACACCUGCACACCAACCUGCAUCAAUGCCUAUUCUUUCCUCUUUCCUUCCUGCUAAAGACCAAGCCUGCCAUGAGUUCUCUCUCUCUCUCUCUCUCUCUCUCUCUCUCUCUCUCUCUCUCUCUCCUGGCUUCUUGCAGCCAAUGGGUAGUCUUUCUCACCUUAAAUCAAAAUUUAUAAACUAACAGGACCUUUCAAGAUUGAACAUCCUACUCCUGCUUCCACUCUAUUUUUCUCCUCCCUGGAGUGAUCAAAUUUUUGUUGGCAUUGCCUACAUUGUUUUUCCAUUUCUUCUUAAAAGCGUUGAAAUCUGGCUUCUACCGAGACUACCCUAUUGAAAAUUCUGUUUAUCAGAGUCACUAAUGACUUCCAUGGCAUUAACUCCAACAUAUGCUUUCAAGUACUUUAUUUUGCUUAUCCAGUCAGCCUCACUGGACACUGUUAGACUACCCUUUUUUCCUGAAAAAUGGUUUUCCUUCUACUGAUCUAGGCGCUCUUUAUUUCCCUUGUGGUGUCCUCUUCUACUCAUUCCUUAAGUACUGGUGAUCCUCAGGGUUGAUCUUCAGGCUGCUUGCUCUUCUCAUUCUGUAUACAGAAGUUGUAUAACAAAGAGGUGAAUAAAUGGAAAGAAAAGAUGCUCCCAACUGAUCUUAUUCUGAUCUACUUCUGUUUUAUAUUGUGCUACAUAAUUUGAUUAUAUUUCACUGUUUCUCCCUUCUCACCCUUCCUAAUCAAUCCAAUUAAACCACAUUCCAGUAAUCUUUAUCUCUGGCUCAGUGAACAGGUCUAAAGCAGUAAUAGGAAGAUAAUAAGCAAUCAAUAAAAAUGUGUUGAAUGAAUUAGUAUCAUGAGGACCAGUAAAUGUUGUGUAAGUGCUUCUAGAGCAUGCACCCACUCGGUCCUUCUUUCUUUGGAUUAAUCAACAUUUACUGAAAAACCAUUGAUGGAAGAUAGGCUUCAUCUUAUUUCCAGCUGUGAUUGAUUAAUAGGGGUCUGCUUGGAGAGCUAUGUUGAGAGCAGUUACCUAGGGAUCAGUGUGAAAGAGUGCUGUAAUCUAUUGAUAUUAAUACUGUUGUGCCUAAUACAAAUAACAUACUACUAUUAAUUGAGCACAGACCAUGUGAUAAGCACAUUAAUUGGAUUAUCUCAGUUAGAUCUCACAACAGCUCCAUGGGAUACCAUGACUUUACAUUAAUGUAACUGAGACACAGAAAUGUUAAAACUUGCCCAAGACCAACCAGCAAACAAAUGAUAGAGUUGGGAUUUAAAUCUAAUAUAUCACACUUUAGAUUCCAUGGGCUUAAGCAUCAUGCUAUAUAUAUUCAUAAUGGGGAGUGGUGGCCUUUUUUCCCCUGAAUUUUUGCCAUUCUUGGCCUAAAUUAAACUAUGAAGAGGGGAAGAAAGAAUAGUAUAGGUGAUGAUAGUAUGUAAAAAGAAGGAUACUCUGCCCUAUGAGGCCUCAGUUACCACAUCUCAAAAAUGGGUUAUUUCACUUAAAAAAAUACACACAACACAAACUUUUUUUUCCUUUUGAUAUCUCAAAAGUUGCCAAUACAGAGGAGAGAACCUUAGUUUUGGAAUUAUUUCAGAGUAAGUUGCCAAUCUGCUGCUCUAAUACUCUCAAAUACUUUAAUGUGUACUUCCUACAAACAAGAACAUUUCUCCCAUAUAACCACAAUACCAUCAUCAAAACUGAGAAAUCAACAUUGUUACAUUAGUACCAUAUAAUACUCAGCCUUCAUAUUUAGAUUUGUACAGAUGUACUAAUAAUAUUGUUAAUUGCAAAUGGACAGUGUUCAGAAUCACGCUCUGUAUUGAGUUGGCAUAUCCUUUAGUCUCGCUGAGCAUCCAGCAACUCACCAAUUCAGGUUUUCCCACCCAGCACUGGUUCCCACAGUGGUUUCCUCUUCUGAGUCUCUGCUGCAGUAAACUCUUACUCCCUGUAUUCUCCUCUCUCUCUCUCUCUCUGUCUCUGAAUUGUAGGACAGAAGUUUGCCCUGUGUCUUCCCCUCUUUUAUGGAUCCUAAAAGAGUUAUUGAUUUCUUGGUCUGUUCAACUUUUUACUUGUUAAGACAGAGUGACUACUUCCAUGCUCCUUACACACAGAACUGGAAACUGGAAGUCCCUUUAGUCUCUUUUAUUCUGAAACAGUUCUUUGGUCUUUUGUUGACUUUCACAACCUUGAAAUAUUCAGGGCAGUUGUUUUGUAGAAUGUUCCUCAGUUGGGUUUAAGUAAUGGUGCUUCGUGAUUAAAGUUAUUUACACUUGGCAGUAAGAGCACAAAAGAGAUGGUUGUGUUUUUUGAGUUGCAUCUUAUCUGGUCAUCCAUGAUUUCAGUUUGUCCCAUUUUGAGGUUCACUUUGAUCCCUUGAAUGAGGUUAUGGCUGCUGGGCUUUUCCACUGUAAAGUUACUCUUUCACUCUUUAAAACUAAUUAAGUUAUUUAGGUAAUUAUGUGAGGUAAUAGAUAUAUUAAUUAGCUUGACUAUAGUAGUCAUUUCAUGAUGCACAUGUAUAUCAAAACAUCACAUUGUAUACCUUAAAUAUAUACAACUUGUACAAAUAAAUAACAAAAUUUUACUUUGAAACUUUGUCCAUAAGAAACUUUGCUCUCCUCACACAACUCAGGCUGUGACUCUUCACAGCAGCUGCCCAUCCCACCCACUGCAGAUACUCUACUCAUUCUUCUCAGGCUCCAACGUCUCAUGCCAGGUUAUCUCUUCAUGUGGGUGCUUGACCCAUCCUCUUUGAACUCUGGCAUCCUACCAUGGGAUCUGGACCACCAUGAGUCCCUGCCCCUUCCAGCACAAUGCUUACUUUUUCCUACCCAUCUUUUGGCUUUAGAACUAGUUUUUCAGGAAGGGAAAGGGAAGCAGAGAUUACAUACUAUUUAAGAUCACUUCCAACUCCAGCAUUCUGUGAUAGAUAAAUUAGUAUGGUUAAUUUAAUUUGCAAGUUUAUGCUUAGAAAAUGGGGAUAGAGGUUUGUUGAAAUCAUUGGGACAAAUGACCAUGCCUGAAAUAAUCACUGAGGCCGGGUCAAAGUGGGGCACUGAGUAUUUUGGACUAGGGCUGGAUGUAUCACACUGAGGAGUCUGGCCAGAAGCACAAGAUCCAAGAGUAGGCAGAGAAGUCAGGAUAUGUUUACCUAUAACCCCCAGAGAAGAGAGCAGUGAUGACAGUGGAUAUCCAGAAAGCAGUAAAUGUCCAUUAGAGUAAUCAAAGCAAAAAAAGAAAAAUAUUUAACACUAACCAGUAAGUAUCUUAGUAUGAGUUAGAGUGAUUAGUAAGCUUAUGCAUUAUGGGAACAAUUCAGUUGGUCAAAGCAAUAACAUGUUGACUACACAUUAUUAGACUACUAGAUGCCAUGAACGUUUUGAUUUCUUUUGCUAAUGGUGCAAGCUGAUUCCAGACUAUAAGUAAUUGAUCUUAUACUGCCAUCCUUUGGUUGAGUUUUAAAUGCCUUCCAUACUAACAAACUAUUUUGGCAUAUUUUUAGCACACGGAGGUAAUCAGGAUUCUAAUUACAGCACUAAUUUUUUUAGAUUAAUAGUAAAUAAAUUAUGGGAAAAGUGAAGAAAUAGAAAUAUACUUUCAGCUAAUAAACUUAGAAGUCACUGACAAAGCCCAUUUUUGUCACAACUAAACUCGCCAAUUAUAGCAUGAAAGUGUCAUAUGCAAUACAUAAUUGAAUGGGCACAGUUGUGUUCCAGUAAAACUUUAUUUAUGAAAACGGGUAGUGAACUGGAUUUGGCUCAUGGGUUGUAGUUUGCUAACUUCCGAUUUAGAUCAUUAAUGUUGAGAGAACUUUCACUUCCAGACAUGUUGAGAGACUAGAUUCACCCUCCCACUUUAAACAACUAAAAUAUGAAAGAAAACAUGUUAAACAAUAGGUUUCAGACAUUGGGUAACAGGAAGCAUAGGAUAAUGAUCCUUGAGAAAAAGAAAAUAAAUAUAGUUAGCCCUAUUAUUGCUCCUGCUUACUGUGUGGAGAAAAUUUCUAGGAGCACAAGGAGGAGGAGGAAACCCAAACAGAUCAGUGAUCUCACUGAGUUGAUAGUCAAAGUUUGGAGUUCAGAGAGGUAGUUAGAUAUUGCAGGGCAAAAUAUUAGAGAGAAAAGAGAUAGAGACAAAUACUGAGAUAUAAAGAUACAGAGAUCUGUAGAAGGGACUGCUGGAGUCUGUAGCUAAUUUGUGAUGUGUGAAUUAACCAAGACUGGGGAAAAAGACCCAGAAAGGAACAGGCCAGCUAUCCCCAGGGCUGACACAGGGCUGGGAAUAUUUCAUUUUCUACUGACCAAAUUGCAAAGACUUCCUAAUACAGGGAACAUUGAGGAGAGUCCUUACAAGGGUAUUCUCUUGGUAGUGGAAUAACAUUGCCCUAGACUAUAAAGUCUGAUCCAUCCACCCUAGCAAAGCUUAAAAGCAAGGCCCCAAGAAAUCAAACAGAUUCCAAGUAAAUUAACUAUGUCUUAAACAAAGCCCAACCAUAUAUAUAGGACUUAGCAAAUUCAGUACCCAGUAAAGUAAAACUUAGAAUGUUCAGAAUCCAACCAAAAGCUACCAGGCAUGCAAAGAAGCAAGAAAAUAGGACCCAUAAGCAGUAGAAAAAAUAAUCAAGAAACCAGACCCAGAAAUGACACAGACAGAAUUAGCAGACAAGGAGGUUAAAAGGCCUAUUAUAAAAAUACCCCAUAAGCUCAAGAAGGUAGAAGAAAAGAUGAACAUAAUGAAGGAAGAAAUGAAAGAUGUCAGAAAGGAACAAAUUGAACUUCUAGAGAUGAAAAAUGUAAUACCUAGAAUGAUAAAUAUAUUGGGUGGGAUUAACAUUAGAUAAGAUAUUAGGAUAUAAGAUAAGAUAUAAGAUAUUAUUCAAUCAACUUGAAGAUAUAGCCAUAGAACUAUCAAAAAUAAAAGAGAAAAAGACUAAAAUAAAUGAACAAAACAUCAGUGGCCUGUGUGAAAAUAUUGAAUGGUCCUGACAUAUCUACAAUAGAGUCCCAGAAAAAGAUGAAAAAUGUUGGAAAAAAUAAUGUCUGAAACUUUUCUGAUUCUGAUGAAAAUUAUAAAAACACAGAUUCAAGAAACUCCUAGUAGAAGAUACAGGAAGAAAAUCACACCAAGGCAUAUCAUAAUCAAAUUGCUGAAAAAUGAUGAUAGAGAGAAAAAUUUUAAAAGCUGUCAGAGAAAAAGGAGACACAUUAUGCACAAGGGGAUAAAAUUAAGAAUGACAGCAGUCUUCCCUUCAGAAAUCAUGUAAGCCAAAAGACAGGAGGAAAAUAACACCAGACAGAAAUUUAGAUCUACAAAAAAAGAAUGAAGACCACCAGUAGCUAUGUGGUAAAUAUAUGAUGAUGGUAGAUAUGGUUGGUUAAAUGGUAACUAUGUGAAUAAAUAUAGAAGACAGAUUUCCAGAAUCUCUUUACAAUAUAAUUGACUAUUUAAAAGACAAAUAUAAUAUCAAUGCAUUAGAGGUUUAAAAUAUGUGAAAAUGUCUGACAACAAUAGUACAAGGAUGAAAGGGAAAAGAUAGAAAUAUGUUGUUGUAAUAUCCUUACAAUAUACUUUGUGUUAUAUAAUAUUGUUUGAAAGUAAACUGUAAUAUGCUAAAUAAAAAUAUAUACUUUAAACCCUAGAGAAGCUAUUAUAAAAAUAAAACAAAAUGGUGUAGCUAAUAAACUCAUGGUAGAAAUAAAGUGGAAUUAAUUUUUAAAAAUAAAUCUAAAAGAAGGAAAAAAGGAAAAAGAACAUGCAGGCAAUUAGAAAACAAAUAGCAAAAUGGUAGAUGUAAACCCAGACAUAUUGAUAAUCACAUUAAAUGGAAAUGACCCAAACACUCUAAUAAAAAGCAAAGAUUGUUAGAUUGGAUAAAAAGCAAGGUCCAACUAUAUGCCAUAUGGAAGAAACUCACUUUCAAUAUGAAAAAACCAUGUAUUAGUUAAGAUAGAUAGUUAAGAUAGUUAAGAUACAACAAGAUACACCUUGCAAACACUAAUCAAAAGAAAGCAUGAGUAUAUAAUAUGAGACAAAGUUGAUUUCAGAAUAAGGAAUAUUACGAGGGACAAAGAGGGACAUUUCAAAAUAAAAGAGUCAAUUCAUCAAGUGGACAGUGAUGUGAUGUACCUAACAGCAGAGUUUAAAGAUAUAUGAAACAAAAACUGAUAGAACUGAAAAGGAGAUAGACAAAUCCAAAAUUAUAGUUGGAGAUUUCAAGGCAUCUCUCUUGAUAGUUGAUAGAACAAAUGAUAGAGCACAGAAAAUUGCAACAACGCUAUCAACCAAGUUGACCUAAUUACAAUUUAUAGAGCAGUUCAGCCAACAAAAGCAGAAAAUAAUUCUUUUGAGUUCACAUGGUACAAGUCACCAAGAUAGAACAUAUUCUGAGCCAUAAAAUAAGUCUCAAUAAAUUUAAAUUUCUUUGACUACAACAGAUUCAAAUUAGAAAUCAAUAACAAUGAUAUCUGGAAAAUCCUCCAGCAUUUGGAAAUCAACACAAUUUUACAUUAUUAUAGUCAAUUGGAUGAAAAUGAUGUGAAAGUCUUGACUGCAGAUUAGAGAUUGUUCUCAUUUAUCCUUACAGUGUUUUCCUGAAGUUCUGCAUUAAAGAUUUAUAGAUAUAUGUUGAGAUCAGGUCAAAAAUCUGUUGUCUAGAUAGAGAAUCAGAAUGUUAUCAAAACAGAUGUUAUUCCUUUUGUAUAUUAUAAAUAACCAUAGGUCUUUGUUGAGAGAGAGAGAGAAACAGAGACACAAAUAGAGAAAGAAGGGGCAGAGAAGGAAGAGGAGAAGAAGGAGGAGAAAGAGGAGAAGAGGGAGAAGAAGAAAUUUCAAAAACACUAGUGGAGUUGCUGCCACAUUAAAAAUUAUUCAGAUAUAGUGAGAUCAGACCCUUCCAGAUACCCAGAGCAACUCAGCUUGUCUUCAAAAGAGCCACAAGAAGAUAAAAAUGUUGAACUUUUAAUUCCUAUCUUCUGUUCUAUCUGUAAAAAUAUUUUACCAUAACUAUCUAUGAAUCCCCAGGAAGAAUGUGACUGAUGAAGUCAUUUGUUAAGUGGAAGUAAAAUAAUAUGCAUUAGUUAUUUAUCAUAGUUUAGACGCCAUACUAGAUUUUUAUUUAUAAUCUUAUUAUCUGCUGAUCCUCAAAAAUGUUUAUAAAUUAGAGAUGAAAAAACUGAGUGAGAAAGGAAUUAAGUAACUUGCACAAAGUCACACAGCCAGCAGAUGGUAGAGAGAAUAUUCCAUUCCAGGUCUUUGUGAUCAAAAUCCAAAUUCCGUAAUUCCGAUGAUAAUAUAUAACAGAUUUCCUUCUUUUUCCCUAGCCUUUUCUUAAGCAAUUGGCUUCUCUAGCAGCCAGUGGGAAAGAACAGAGCCCUUAGUUCACUGAAUCACUUUAUAAAGUUACUGGUUGCCCUAGGAGAUGUGAAAACAUGAAAGAAGUAUUUGUCAUCCUGAUGGACACCAUGGUCCCAAGCAGAGGAACACUAUGUACAGAUGUCAAAUAACCAGUAAGUCUAGUGGAAUUACUAGGUAAUUUUUGAUCCUGUGAAAAGUUUAAAAACUUUCCAAAGAGGACAUGCUUUACAGAACAAUAUCCAAUACAAGCUGUGCAUAGCUUAGAUGUUAAGUUUGUAGUCAUGGGCCCAAGGUUUAACAUGACAUAACCUACCUUUGAACAGAGUUAAUACUCUGUCCAAUUUGGUGUGAAGUUUUCUUUUCUUUCCAACUCCCACUCCCUGACAUCAGUUUAAAGCCUAUUUACCUUGUUAGCUCAGAUAAUAGAUUUCUGUAAUUUGACUCUCAUGGACCUGGAUCUGAAAGUUCAAAUUCCACAGCACCCAAAAUGUUAGAAAUCUUUUGAUCGAUGUAGCUGAACUUUUGUACAGGAAAAGAUUCCUCCAUGGAGCAUGUUGACUCAGUUUAUUUCAGCUUAUUAAUACCAGACUGACUAAGUGACACCAGCAUAUAGCUGAGCUGGUAGAUAAUGAGACCACACAUGUUUACAGUCUCUUUUCAACACUUGUGAUCUCACCCAACUACCUGCAGAGAAAUGGUCAAAUAUAAGUUGUAACAUCUUGUAUUACUUUGUGGUAGAGCACAUCGUCACUCCAAGUCAACACAGGUUUAUUAAGCUCCUAUUAUAGUUGUAUAGACAGUAAAAAACAUGAGUGUUUAUUCCACUCUAUUAAGAGGUUUUAAUGUUGGAAGGUUGUAAGAAGGUAAAUAAAUAACCAUAUAUAAGGCAGACCAAGAAAAGUGGCUUAAAAGGUGCAAAGUGCUGUGAGGAUCCAGAGAAGAGAGUAAAGCUCCUUGGGGAGAGAUCUAGGCCCUAAAGGAGAAGUUGUCCUUAGUCCUUGGACAGACAGGUACUGGGAGUGAAGGAGGCAACAAGUGAUGUUUCAGAGAGAGAAAAUAUCAUUAAUACACACACACACACACACACAAGUCUAGCUAUAUUAAGGGAAUAGUGCAUCAUUAACUUUAUUUGGAAUUCAGGUUCCCUCAUACUACAUUUUGAGCAAUCUUAUCUAAGAUCGGAAAGGUUGAUUGGGGGUUUAUUCUGGAGGACUUAGAUAUGGAACUGGGAAUUUGUAAUUCAAGAAGCAUUACUGAUGUAAACUAGUCACAUUGAUUUACCAUAGUUAUUGGUACCCUAGGGAAUAUAGACUAACCAACUGCUCCCAAACUCUUUUCACGUAUAAUUUUUAUCAUUUAUAAUGGUUACAUAGCAUUUCAUUAUGUGGACUUACCAACAUUUAUUUAACCAUUCCCCUAUUGUUGGACCUAUAGGCUGUCUCUAAUAUUCUGCAAUUGCAAUAAUUUUUUAAUGACCUUCUUUUGCUAAUAUUUUCCCUUUUAUAUUACUUCCAUAGGCUAGAAUCUUAGAUGUUAAACCGCUUGGAUAAGACACAAAACAAUUUAAGAUUGCUGAUACAUAAUCUUAAGAUUAAUUUGCUCAAGGAUUUGUGCAAAUUUACAGUCCUACUUGAGGUUUUAAAUUUAGUAGUGUUAAAAAGGUCUCCUUUUUAACCCUACUAAAAGGUCUCCUUUUUAACACUACUAAAAUGUGUUUAAAAUGGAGUUACUUGUGCUAAGCCCCAUGUCAGUAAACCAAGACUUAAUAUUUAAUUUAAUUGCCGUUUCAACAGCCCAGGAAUGUAACCUUUAACCAGUCAACCUAGAAUUACCUCGUUAGCGCUAGUGAGGUAAUCUGCCGUAUAGGCCCCUCCAUUCCCCUUAGGAAGGCAACCUUGCCUGAGACAAUACAUUUUUUGCUAAUAAUUUUCUUUUUUCUGCCCCCUUUCUACCUUUAAAAACCUUUCUUUUUCUACAGCUUGGUGGAGCCAGUUUGACCUUUAAUUUUACUCAAAUUUUUGUUAUUUAAUUUUUGCCCCUGAGUGCCUUACAGGUACUUCUAAGCCUCUGAUACAUAUAACUCCAUGAAACACUACUACUUUAAGAAGAAAUAUUUACUCUCAAUAAAAGAACUUUAAUAAGCUUGAUCAAAUGACUAAAUAUUUAGAAAGCGUAUUGUGUUGAGUGAAACUUUGUGUGUAAUAAAUAAUGAGAGUAAUAGAAGAUCAUUUUGGAUGACUGGUCUGUAAUUGCCUCAAGGAACACAUACAAAGAAAACAAAUUCUUCUGAUUACUUCCUCAAACAGCCAACACAAUGGGGAGGAAAUGUCCCAUGAACAGUAUGAAAAGGGAACCAGAAAGCCUAACAUGUAAACUUUGAGAAAUGACAGCAUUAGAAACAAAACUGCAAAAGAGAUCCCCUUCCAGAAUAAUCUGAGAUGCACGAAAGGCAUAUAGUCACUAGAGUUGGAGCCUUAUCAAGUCUGUACAGAGGUGAGUGGAGUAUUUGACCUUCACCAUGAUUAACAAGCCUUUCUUUGACAUUGUGCUGGUGCUGUUGGCAUCUUCCUCCGUCUGCUCCCGAGAGCUGAAACUGGUUCUUUUCCAACAAAAGAGAGUGAACAGAGAGAGUUUAAAACUCUUGAAUAAAUUGCAGACCUCUUCGAUUCAGCAGUGUCUACCACACAGGAAAAACUUCCUGCUUCCCCAGAAGUCUAUGAAUCCUCACCAGUACCAGAAAGGACAAGCACUGACCAUUCUUCAUGAGAUGCUUCAGCAGAUCUUCAACCUCUUCAGGGCAAUUAUUUCUCUGAAUGGUUGGGAGGAAAGCCACAUGGAGAAGCUCCUCAUUGAACUUCAUCAACAGCUGAAAUACCUAGAAGCGCUCAUGAGACGGCAAGCACAGCAGAAAAGAGACACCUUGGGCAGUGAGAACCUUAGAUUACAGGUUAAAAUAUAUUUCCAAAGGAUACGUGAUUACCUGGAAAACCAGGACUAUAGCACCUGUGCCUGGACCAUUGUCCAAGUAGAAAUCAACCGAUGUCUGUUUUUUGUGUUCCAACUCACAGGAAAGCUGAGCAAACAAGGAAUGGAAACUUGAACCAUGUGGAGGAAGAGCCAACGGCAGGCUUUAAAAGCAUAGGGUGAGGAGAACAAGACUUUAAAAGUCAAGUACGUAACUUGCUCAAAGUAACGCAGCAAGCCACAGAGCUAGCAAAUGCCAGAGCAAAAUUUCCUCCCAGGUCUGCGCGCCUUGAAAGCCUGCGUUGUAUUCUAGUCACCACAAACCUGAACAGCAUUGUGCAAUAUCACUGGGAAAUAUAAUGAUGACAGUCAUGAUAAUAAUUUGCUCCUGGCUUUCCUUAUUCAAGUUCGCAUACUCUCACAGUCUUGAAUUACAGAAAGGAUAUUUUCUCUCCCGGACAGUUUUUUCUUCAGAACUAAGCACUUCCAGCAAUUGUUGAAUAAGUUCCAGAAGAAAUUUCUCUACAUGUAUCUAUUCCAAUCAGAAGGGAUGCUCUUGGAUGAAAUUAACACGAAGGAAGAACUUCUGGGAUGCAAGUUAGGGAAGAAAGACAUUGAGAAAAGGACUUCUGGUAAAGAAUUAGCCAAGAUCUCUUACCUGCAGGAAGUAUGAACCUACAACAAAACUUUACAAACUCAGAAGGAUCCUGCAGCAAUCCAAAAGACCAUUGUGAUGUUGCCAGACUAACCAGAUUUAAAAAAACUCAGAAGAUUAUGAACUUACUUGCAUCUCUAGCUUAUUUACAUCUGUAGCUUUCUUGCAAAUUUUUAAAAUACGUGUUUCAGUAUCAACAAGAAAAUGAGAAAGUAUCUUCACACUUUGUGAAACUGUACUUCACAGAGGAAGGUAUAAACUGUACUUCACAGAAGAAGAUAUCCAAACCAUCGACAAACUUGAAAAAAAGUGAUCAACAUCGUGACUGCUCAUGGGAGUGGUCUGAAACUGAACCUGCAAGAUCUCUGAGCUGUUCUGCUGCUGCUGAUGUCCAAUGUGGAAUUUCUCCAAGAGAGUCUCAUCCCAAACAUCCUGGGCCCUUUGUACUGAAGAUGCUACAGAGAAAUCUCAGGGAAGACAGCGUGAUGUGGACUCCUUGAAACUGCCCAGCAUCCCCUGGAUCUCAGAGAUCAGUCAGAUGUGUUUUCCAGAAAUAACAGAUGGGAAGCACUUGCUUUUUGUUGGAGAAACACUAAGAUGUGCCUCUUGUCCAGACCAUGACCUGAGUCACCUCACAACUUGAGCAAAAUUUGGGGCAGAAGAAUGGAAGUUCUUUAAAUUUUUUUCUGUAAAGUAUUUUGCACUGAUUUGAUAGACUUUUAUAGGCAGGUUCCCAAGGAAAAUGUGCAUGUGUAAAUGUCAAAUAAAGAUGUGAAAAGAUGCUCAACAUUAUUAGUCACCAGGGAGAUACAAAUUAAAAGCACAAUUAAAUACCACUUCCUAUUUAUGGAAGUGGCUAAAAUUAAAAAGAUUGUGCAUAACUGGUACAGAGGAUGUGACAUCACUGGAAUUCUCCUCCAUUGCUGGUGGAAAUAUCAAAUGGUACAACCACUUUGGAAAAUGGUUUGGCAGUUUCCUAAAAUGUAAAACCUAUACCUUUCAUAUGAUACAGCUGUUCUACUCUUAGAUAUUUACCUGAGAGAAAUGAAAGUACAUGUCCUCAUAAAGACUUAUACAUGAAUGUUCUGAGCAGCUUUAUUCCUAUUUAAAAACCCUGGGGAAAAAAAUGUCCAUCAACAAGUGAAACAAUGAAUUAUCAUAGAUCCAUAAAAUGGAAGAUUAUUCAGCAAUAAAAACAAUCAACUAUUGAAACAUGGUAAAAUAUGGGUGAAUCUUAAAAUGUUGAAGCCGAAUGAAAAGAAAAAGAGCACAUACUGUUUUAUUCCAUUUACAUGAACUUGUAGGAAAUGCAAACUUGUCUUUAGGGACAGAAAGGGCUGACUGGCAGGGUGAGAGGUGAGGUUGGAAAGGGAAAGGGAUUACAAAGGUGCAUGAAGAAACCUUUGGAGGGUGACUGGCAUCUUCAUUAUCUUAAUUGUGAUGGUUUUAUGGAUGUAUAUAUAAAUAUCAAAACAUGAUUUAGAUUUAUAUUCUCUGCAGGUAGGAGAUCUUUGCUAUGUCUGUACCAGAAGACCUUGUUCAAUGUUUUUUUCUUCUAUAAGGCACGUUCCAGCAGACCCUCCCUGCUAUUUUCUGCCAAGAGUGUACCUAAGGAUUGGAAUAGAGACCCAUGAAGGAUUUCUCAGCUGAUGGAACAGCUAAAGGUAGAGGUGGAUUCCCUGGAAGUACCUCUUCACGGCCAGUGUAGGGCCCGUCACUCCCAGGGCAGUUUCUUCAUCUCCCAUCGCCUGCACCAAGCAGGCGUCCAGGUCCUCCAGCUGCUGAUGGAGUCCAGUGCGGAGUUUGUCCAGGAGGGAGGUGUCCCAGGCGGCAGGGGAGCGCUCUGUGUGGAAGAGGCGGAAGACCUGCUGGAGCAUCUCGUGGAGAACAGAGGUGGCCUGGGCCUUCGGGAGCUGGCUGCCAUCCACCAUGUCCUGGGGGAAACCGAAGUCUUUUCUGUCCUUCAGACAGAAGCGAGGGGAGAUUCUCCGCAUCUGGCCCAGAAGCAUGAAGUUCUUCCUGCUAAUCCGCACGUGGUUCUGAGACAGGUCGCA